AUUGAACGCUGGCGGCAGGCUUAACACAUGCAAGUCGAGCGAGCGGCGGACGGGUGAGUAAUGUCUGGGAAAGUGCCUGAUGGAGGGGGAUAACUACUGGAAACGGUAGCUAAUACCGCAUACCAUCAGAUGUGCCCAGAUGGGAUUAGCUAGUAGGUGGGGUAAAGGCUCACCUAGGCGACGAUCCCUAGCUGGUCUGAGAGGAUGACCAGCCACACUGGAACUGAGACACGGGCCAGACUCCUACGGGAGGCAGCAGUGGGGAAUAUUGCACAAUGGGCGAAAGCCUGAUGCAGCCAUGCCGCGUGUGUGAUGAAGGCCUUCGGGUUGUAAAGCACUUUCAGCGGGGAGGCGGUACUCGCAGAAUAAGCACCGGCUAACUCCGUGCCAGCAGCCGCGGUAAUUC
rnacentral:rRNA from 1 species